UACGUAGGGUGCGAGCGUUGUCCGGAAUUAUUGGGCGUAAAGAGCUUGUAGGCGGUUUGUCGCGUCUGCUGUGAAAAUCCGGGGCUCAACCCCGGACUUGCAGUGGGUACGGGCAGACUAGAGUGUGGUAGGGGAGACUGGAAUUCCUGGUGUAGCGGUGAAAUGCACAGAUAUCAGGAGGAACACCGGUGGCGAAGGCGGUCAUCUGGGCCAAUACUGACGCUGAGGAGCGAAAGCGUGGGGAGCGAACAGG
rnacentral:rRNA from 1 species